rnacentral:rRNA from 7 species
GUAAAAAGUAGAAUAAUAGAUUUGAAAUAUUUAUUAUAUAGAUUUAAAGAGAUAAUCAUGGAGUAUAAUAAUUAAAUUUAAUAAAUUUAAUAUAACUAUUAAUAGAAUUAGGUUACUAAUAAAUUAAUAACAAUUAAUUUUAAAACCUAAAGGUAAACCUUUAUAUUAAUAAUGUUAUUUUUUAUUAUAUUUAUAAUAAGAAUAAUUAUUAAUAAUAAUAAACUAAGUGAACUGAAACAUCUAAGUAACUUAAGGAUAAGAAAUCAACAGAGAUAUUAUGAGUAUUGGUGAGAGAAAAUAAUAAAGGUCUAAUAAGUAUUAUGUGAAAAAAAUGUAAGAAAAUAGGAUAACAAAUUCUAAGACUAAAUACUAUUAAUAAGUAUAGUAAGUACCGUAAGGGAAAGUAUGAAAAUGAUUAUUUUAUAAGCAAUCAUGAAUAUAUUAUAUUAUAUUAAUGAUGUACCUUUUGUAUAAUGGGUCAGCAAGUAAUUAAUAUUAGUAAAACAAUAAGUUAUAAAUAAAUAGAAUAAUAUAUAUAUAUAAAAAAAUAUAUUAAAAUAUUUAAUUAAUAUUAAUUGACCCGAAAGCAAACGAUCUAACUAUGAUAAGAUGGAUAAACGAUCGAACAGGUUGAUGUUGCAAUAUCAUCUGAUUAAUUGUGGUUAGUAGUGAAAGACAAAUCUGGUUUGCAGAUAGCUGGUUUUCUAUGAAAUAUAUGUAAGUAUAGCCUUUAUAAAUAAUAAUUAUUAUAUAAUAUUAUAUUAAUAUUAUAUAAAGAAUGGUACAGCAAUUAAUAUAUAUUAGGGAACUAUUAAAGUUUUAUUAAUAAUAUUAAAUCUCGAAAUAUUUAAUUAUAUAUAAUAAAGAGUCAGAUUAUGUGCGAUAAGGUAAAUAAUCUAAAGGGAAACAGCCCAGAUUAAGAUAUAAAGUUCCUAAUAAAUAAUAAGUGAAAUAAAUAUUAAAAUAUUAUAAUAUAAUCAGUUAAUGGGUUUGACAAUAACCAUUUUUUAAUGAACAUGUAACAAUGCACUGAUUUAUAAUAAAUAAAAAAAAAUAAUAUUUAAAAUCAAAUAUAUAUAUAUUUGUUAAUAGAUAAUAUACGGAUCUUAAUAAUAAGAAUUAUUUAAUUCCUAAUAUGGAAUAUUAUAUUUUUAUAAUAAAAAUAUAAAUACUGAAUAUCUAAAUAUUAUUAUUACUUUUUUUUUAAUAAUAAUAAUAUGGUAAUAGAACAUUUAAUGAUAAUAUAUAUUAGUUAUUAAUUAAUAUAUGUAUUAAUUAAAUAGAGAAUGCUGACAUGAGUAACGAAAAAAAGGUAUAAACCUUUUCACCUAAAACAUAAGGUUUAACUAUAAAAGUACGGCCCCUAAUUAAAUUAAUAAGAAUAUAAAUAUAUUUAAGAUGGGAUAAUCUAUAUUAAUAAAAAUUUAUCUUAAAAUAUAUAUAUUAUUAAUAAUUAUAUUAAUAAUAUAUAUAAUUAUAUUAUAUAUUUUUUUUAUAUAAUAUAAACUAAUAAAGAUCAGGAAAUAAUUAAUGUAUACCGUAAUGUAGACCGACUCAGGUAUGUAAGUAGAGAAUAUGAAGGUGAAUUAGAUAAUUAAAGGGAAGGAACUCGGCAAAGAUAGCUCAUAAGUUAGUCAAUAAAGAGUAAUAAGAACAAAGUUGUACAACUGUUUACUAAAAACACCGCACUUUGCAGAAACGAUAAGUUUAAGUAUAAGGUGUGAACUCUGCUCCAUGCUUAAUAUAUAAAUAAAAUUAUUUAACGAUAAUUUUAUUAAAUUUAGGUAAAUAGCAGCCUUAUUAUGAGGGUUAUAAUGUAGCGAAAUUCCUUGGCCUAUAAUUGAGGUCCCGCAUGAAUGACGUAAUGAUACAACAACUGUCUCCCCUUUAAGCUAAGUGAAAUUGAAAUCGUAGUGAAGAUGCUAUGUACCUUCAGCAAGACGGAAAGACCCUAUGCAGCUUUACUGUAAUUAGAUAGAUCGAAUUAUUGUUUAUUAUAUUCAGCAUAUUAAGUAAUCCUAUUAUUAGGUAAUCGUUUAGAUAUUAAUGAGAUACUUAUUAUAAUAUAAUGAUAAUUCUAAUCUUAUAAAUAAUUAUUAUUAUUAUUAUUAUUAAUAAUAAUAAUAUGCUUUCAAGCAUAGUGAUAAAACAUAUUUAUAUGAUAAUCACUUUACUUAAUAGAUAUAAUUCUUAAGUAAUAUAUAAUAUAUAUUAUAUAUAUAUUAUAUAUAAUAUAAGAGACAAUCUCUAAUUGGUAGUUUUGAUGGGGCGUCAUUAUCAGCAAAAGUAUCUGAAUAAGUCCAUAAAUAAAUAUAUAAAAUUAUUGAAUAAAAAAAUAAUAUAUAUUAUAUAUAUUAAUUAUAAAUUGAAAUAUGUUUAUAUAAAUUUAUAUUUAUUGAAUAUAUUUUAGUAAUAGAUAAAAAUAUGUACAGUAAAAUUGUAAGGAAAACAAUAAUAACUUUCUCCUCUCUCGGUGGGGGUUCACACCUAUUUUUAAUAGGUGUGAACCCCUCUUCGGGGUUCCGGUUCCCUUUCGGGUCCCGGAACUUAAAUAAAAAUGGAAAGAAUUAAAUUAAUAUAAUGGUAUAACUGUGCGAUAAUUGUAACACAAACGAGUGAAACAAGUACGUAAGUAUGGCAUAAUGAACAAAUAACACUGAUUGUAAAGGUUAUUGAUAACGAAUAAAAGUUACGCUAGGGAUAACAGGGUAAUAUAGCGAAAGAGUAGAUAUUGUAAGCUAUGUUUGCCACCUCGAUGUCGACUCAACAUUUCCUCUUGGUUGUAAAAGCUAAGAAGGGUUUGACUGUUCGUCAAUUAAAAUGUUACGUGAGUUGGGUUAAAUACGAUGUGAAUCAGUAUGGUUCCUAUCUGCUGAAGGAAAUAUUAUCAAAUUAAAUCUCAUUAUUAGUACGCAAGGACCAUAAUGAAUCAACCCAUGGUGUAUCUAUUGAUAAUAAUAUAAUAUAUUUAAUAAAAAUAAUACUUUAUUAAUAUAUUAUCUAUAUUAGUUUAUAUUUUAAUUAUAUAUUAUCAUAGUAGAUAAGCUAAGUUGAUAAUAAAUAAAUAUUGAAUACAUAUUAAAUAUGAAGUUGUUUUAAUAAGAUAAUUAAUCUGAUAAUUUUAUACUAAAAUUAAUAAUUAUAGGUUUUAUAUAUUAUUUAUAAAUAUAAUAUAAUAAUUAUUAUUAUUAAUAAAAAAAAUAUUAAUUAUAAUAUUAAUAAAAUACUAAUUUAUCAGUUAUCUAUAUAAUAUCUAAUCUAUUAUUCUAUAUACU